UGGCCCAUGUUGGUUAACAGAUCCUCAUUUGCUGGAUAAUUGGCGAUGAUCUUUAUCGGUUGUCGUCAGUUGCCAGAACGUUUACUUUGAGAAAAUUAGAGUGCUAAAAGCAGGCUCACGCCUAUAUAUAUUGCAUGGAAUAAUGAAAUAAGAUCUCGAUUUUAUUUCGUUGGUUUUAGAAAUUGAGAUAAUGAUUAAUAGGAUCAGAGGGGGGCGUACGUACUGUGGUGUGAGAGGUGAAAUUCUUGGAUCGCCACAGGACGAACAGCAGCGAAGGCGUUCGCCAAGAAUGUUUUCAUUAAUCAAGAACGAAAGUUUGAGGUUCGAAGACGAUUAGAUACCGUCCUAGUUCAAACCAUAAACGUUGCCAACUGUCUUUUAGAUGCGGUUAUUUAUAUGACUCAUCUGGCGGAUCUCGAGAAAUCUAAGUUUUUAGGUUCCGGGGGAAGUAUGGUUGCAAAGCUGAAACUUAAAAGAAUUGACGGAAGGACACACAAGAAGUGGAGCCUGUGGCCUAAUUUGACUCAACACGGGAAACCUUACUCGGCCAGGACACUUUUAGGAUUGACAGAUUGAGAGCUCUUUCUUGAUUAGGUGGGUGGUGGUGCAUGGUCGUUCGUAGUUCGUGGAGCGAUUUGUCUGAUUAAUUUCGAUAACGAACGAGACUCCGGCUUACUAAAUAGUCUAAAGUUCGAAGGGACUUUUCAAGACUUCUUAGCAGGAUAAAUGCG
rnacentral:rRNA from 1 species